GCUCCUCCUACCCGCCCGUCUGUACCCACCUCCGAUCCCGCCCGCCAAUCACGCCCGCAGUGCAUCUCCUUCCAUCCACGCCGCCGCGCCGCAUCUCGCGAUCUCGCCCAUCGCUUCCCCUCCGCGCCUUCCCCAGGCGCCGCCUCCCUCCUCGCAGCACCCUUCUCCCCCUCGCGCCACCGCCUCCCUGCGACCCCGGCCUCGACGGCGUGCUGCCGGUUCUCGCGUGCCCCGCCACAAAGCGUGGUGGCGGCAUCCUUCUUCCUCCUCGCGCCUCGCGCGCCAGCGGUCGGAGGGGAGGUGGAGGCGGAGCUCGAUUUGGAGGUGGCGGAGGUCGAUCCGGCAGCGGCGGAGCUCGAUUGGAGCGGCUGAGGUCGAUUGGGCACCGGCAUCGCAACUGGCCGAAUCCCGCUACCGUUCAGCCGGCCGAGGCAAGGCCCUUCGCGGGCGCGCCGCCGUCUGCCCCAACGCCCGCCACCGCCUCCGUCUCCACAAGCACCCACGGCCUGGAGAAUGCCCACCGGCCGCCGCCGGAGAACGCCGCCGCUGUGUGGGUCGCUCCAUGCCUUGUGGAUUGGUCCGGAUGUCCAACGACGGGGAGGCCCGUCGCGGAACGAGGUGGGGACGUGCCCGCCUGAGCGCGGGGACGGGUGUGACCGUUUCUGAUGUCGUGGAUGAACCGAGCGCCGGCGUGGUUGUGGACUGGGGCAUUGCGCCUGCACGGAGCUUUGCUCACCCUAGGCAAAGCUCCGGCCGCGCGCGAGGGGCCGGCGGCGGCCUGCGCGGCGGCGCCGAGGCCGCACGCGAGUGGGCUGCCCCCGCCCUGCGCAUCGCCCCGGCGCCUGCUUCCUCGAGGCCGCCGCCGCUGCUUGCUGCUCUGCGAGGAAGGCAUGCGCUGCUGUUGCUUGCUGCUCUGCUGGUGCUAGCCAAGCACUGCUGCUGCCAUCCAUUUUCUGCUCGACAAUGCCAAACUGAUUUUACAAAUUGGUGGCAAUACUAUCCACAAGCUGUAAAAGACAAACUUACAGCAACAGGCUUUCCAAUUUAACCAUGUCUGAAGUGUUCUUUCAGAACCAGCAGCAGGGAUUGCAUGAGCCGUUUGAAAUAUAACCAUUGACCAAUUUGUGCAGGAUUAUACAUGGUGCAUCUAUUGGGUCUUGACUAAAAUCUUUUGUUAACCAUGGUUGCUUGCAGUUUGAAUGUGAUCGCUUCUGAGAGCUCAACUUUCAUUAUGCCAUAAGAAAAAUGUUAACCGGCAGCUCAAGAUAUUAUUUCAUUCUCGAAUAGUCCGUCAUGUCAUCACCUUGAUCGGAUUACAGAAGCAUGAAGGUUUGUUCUUUUUCUUCCUGUGAUCUUUCUUUAUUUCCUUUGCAUUUUCUAAACUAUGUCAGGUUGCAGUUUAAAACAUGGUGAAUUGACCAUCUUGUGUCAGUUUUCACAUAUAACAUCAAAGAGUUUUUUUUAUUGAAUCGCGCUAACUGAUGUAUGAUACCCUUUUUUUUACUGACUGUGCUAACUGAUAAAUAUUAACAUCCUAGCUAAUCUCUCCAUAUAAAGGGCGUGGGUUCCCCUUGUGAUUGAUUGUUGGUAAGGAUGCAAUCGCUAGCGUCGACUCAUACAGAUACCAAUCUUACUUACUGGUUCUGCUACAAUAUAAAAGGUAUAUAUAUGCUGCAAGUGCUCUGUCACAUCUGUAAAAUCCUAAGAUGUUCUUUUUUAUAUAUUAAAGUUCAUUCAUUCAUAUUUGCAAAAAAGUCCAUUAAUUCCCUCACAAAAUUGUAGAUAUUGAGCAACAGAAAAAAAGAACCAACUUGAAAACUUUGUGUUUUAUCUUAGCAGAUUACUUUUCAUUAGGCAGGAACUGGAGUGUAAAGGGGAAAAAUUGAAGACCCUUGUUUCAAUGAGUUUAAGUUCUAGAAUCCAAAGGCAUAUGUUGGUUCUUUGUUCCUCUAUGCCGUCAGAAAAUAUCUAUUGACCUUCUUUUGAUCAUCAUUCCAUGAUAUUUUUGGUGUAAGCUAGCCAUGCAUAUAUCAUUGGUCUCAUUGCAUAUGAUGUGUCAAAAACAAAUUUGAUAUCAUGGCAAAACCAUUUGAAAGUGAUUUGUCUAGAUUCGGUAUCAUGGCGUUCCAAUUCUGAUUACACCCAUUUGUAGUUCUUGCCUACAAUUGUGGUUUGAUUUGGGGUUCCCAUGUAUGUAGUUAAUACUUUAGAGAAGGUGGUCUUAACCCAAAGUUAAAAUUGACCAUUCUUGUUGUAUUCUGCUUAUAUCUGUGAGCCAAGAUCUCUGCUAGGAUAUAAUUAGGUAAUGUAUUUGACAUUUCUUUUGGUUCUGUCAAGUUUUAUGGUCAGAUAUGCCAAAAAGUAACUUCUCCCUAAGCACAUUCUCUUUCCAUCCGCAUGUCCUUCUUACUGUGUUGAGUUUUAAAUGUUGAACAGAUGUAGGGUUAGCGACUUAGCAUUUGUUUAGAGUGCAGAUUAGUAUACAUGGAAAUUACAACAAUCGAAUUGGAAGCAUGUCUUGAUGACAAAAAAAUGAAAGCUAUUGUGUCUUCGGGCUCAAAUACCUUUUCUUGCUGCAGACCAGUAGAAUGUUGCAAUUAUCAUGAGCACUGCCCAAUGCUCAUGAAUCAAACCUUUCUUACAAUAAUUGUUGCCUUUUAUUAUAGUCACAUGUCCUAAAAAUUUAUUUUUCCCAUUUUGUUUUGAAACAUAGCUGCAGGCACUUAUUCUGGUAAAUCCUUAUGAUGCAGAUUGACAAGCUCUUAAUCUUUCUUGAUCUUUGCAGGUGGUCUAGACACUAAGGAAUUGGCCAUCAGACUACCUGUAAUCAAAAUCCCAGUAACUACAUAUUGCAAUGGCGUGAUGGAGCCGAAAAACAGGUGGUGAUGCUACACAUAGUUCUUCGCCACUUGUCAUGGUGAUCCUAUCUUUUGAAGCUAGAUUGGGGUACACCAUUUGAUAGAAAAUGGAUCAUUGGAUCUGCAGCCUUCCUAUAAGGUGCAAUUCGUUAGCUUCUCAUGCUUGCUUGAGCUAUGGUAAUAAUGGGUACUCUAAUUUUUUAUGUCUUCUAUAGUUCUAUUGAUUACCUUGAUUGAAAUAUCUCAGCUCCUUGUCAUCAUCAUGGAUAUAAGGUGCGGUUCUGCUGCCCACAUGCUGUAUGUCACCUGUUUUGAAUCCUUUCGGCUACUUUUCCCAUAAAGUUAAUGCUUUUCUCUCAUUGCAGAGAGGCAUAGUUGUUUCAAUAGUUUAACUAUUAGGAUGGUACAAAUAUCUUUUAGGUUUCAUAAAUAUUUUACUUUUAGUGCAGAGAUCAUAGACAAGAGCUUCUGAAAAUCAUGGGCAUGAGUACAUCAGAUUUUUUUUCCUUGUAAUAUUUCUUCAACGCGAUAAAAGCGUAGGUGCGGAGCUCCAAUACGUUAAUUGAUCCAGUUGCUCCACCUGAUCCACGCAACUAAGGAGAGUGACGAGUCAAUAUAAUUUGCUGAUGUUUCUUUUGGUCCACAGAUUUUCUUUGUAUAUGCUAUCGUGAUGAACUUGUGUAUCAAGCUAAUCUUUCUAUGAUCAUUUCUUUAUUUCAUUUUUUGUAUGAUCAUAUUUUUCCUUUGCUUCGCAUGAUGAUUGAUGGUCAUGAUUUAUAUGGCACUCGCAUUCAUAUUGAUGAAUGGCAUGUAUAUGUUAACUUAACUUGCUCCCUUUAAUAUAAACUAUGUGCUUAAAUA